GGAGGAAUAAGUACAAGAGGUCCAUUAUACAACAUGGUGGCUACACUUAAUAACAGUGUAUAGUCAUCUGGAAAAUCACCAGGAGAGUAGAUUUUAGGGCACUGAUGGCAUGCUGUCACUCGCGGAACUUGAGCUGCACUGGUAUGCAGGCCCAGCCACUGUGCCAAUUGGAUGGGGAUCACUUUGCCUGAAGCAUACAAAUGAGGAACACUCCAGACACCCGCCCUCUUGCUCUUUUGUGAGGAUAUGCAAAAGCUGACUGCAGGUGGAUUCAUGAUUUCAAGAAUACAUAGGAGUUAAAUCAGGCUCACAAAAUAC
rnacentral:lncRNA from 10 species